AAUAAUUUACCGCCGGGUAAACGCCUUGUACAGUUCCGUUAGGCCUUAGAAGGAACAGUACCGGGCGUUUUUAUUUU
rnacentral:ncRNA from 1 species